rnacentral:tRNA from 18 species
GCAGAAGUGGUGAAAUUGGCAGCCACGCUAGAUUUAGGUUCUAGUGCCUUCGGGCGUGAGGGUUCGAGUCCCUCCUUCUGUACCA